rnacentral:rRNA from 1 species
GACGAACGCUGGCGGCGUGCCUAAUACAUGCAAGUAGAACGCACAGUUUAUACCGUAGCUUGCUACACCAUAGACUGUGAGUUGCGAACGGGUGAGUAACGCGUAGGUAACCUGCCUGGUAGCGGGGGAUAACUAUUGGAAACGAUAGCUAAUACCGCAUAAUAUUGAUUAUUGCAUGAUAAUUGUUUGAAAGAUGCUAUUGCAUCACUACCAGAUGGACCUGCGUUGUAUUAGCUAGUAGGUGAGGUAACGGCUCACCUAGGCGACGAUACAUAGCCGACCUGAGAGGGUGAUCGGCCACCCUGGGACUGAGACACGGCCCAGACUCCUACGGGAGGCAGCAGUAGGGAAUCUUCGGCAAUGGACGAAAGUCUGACCGAGCAACGCCGCGUGAGUGAAGAAGGUUUUCGGAUCGUAAAGCUCUGUUGUAAGAGAAGAACGGGUGUGAGAGUGGAAAGUUCACACUGUGACGGUAUCUUACCAGAAAGGGACGGCUAACUACGUG